rnacentral:rRNA from 1 species
AUUGAACGCUGGCGGCAGGCCUAACACAUGCAAGUCGAACGAGUGGCGGACGGGUGAGUAAUGUCUGGGCAACUGCCUGAUGGAGGGGGAUAACUACUGGAAACGGUAGCUAAUACCGCAUACCAUCAGAGGUGCCCAGAUGGGAUUAGCUAGUGGGUGGGGGAAAGGCUCACCAAGGCGACGAUCACUAGCUGGUCUGAGAGGAUGACCAGCCACACUGGAACUGAGACACGGUCCAGACUCCUACGGGAGGCAGCAGUGGGGAAUAUUGGACAAUGGGCGCAAGCCUGAUGCAGCCAUGCCGCGUGUAUGAAGAAGGCCUUCGGGUUGUAAAGUACUUUCGGCGGGGAGGCGUUACCCGCAGAAGAAGCACCGGCUAACUCCGUGCCAGCAGCCGCGGUAAUUC